rnacentral:misc_RNA from 1 species
AACGCACGAGACCUGCGGACCUGCGGAGGGAUCAUUAUAGAGUGGUAAACCCCCCGUAAAAGGGGGGGACCUCCUGUCCUUUGUAGGCUCUUUUUUAAAAGGGCUUUUUUUAAUUUUCUGCUUCGGUGGGGUUAUCCCACCGGAACAACCUCAAAACUCUUAUCAAAAAAUCGUUCUGUCUGAGAACCUUUUAUAAUAAAAAAAAACUUUUAACAAUGGAUCUCUAGAUCGGAAGAGCAC